UACAGAGGGUGCGAGCGUUAAUCGGAAUUACUGGGCGUAAAGCGCGCGUAGGCGGCUUUGCAAGUCGGGUGUGAAAUCCCCAGGCUUAACCUGGGAACUGCAUUCGAGACUGCAUUGCUAGAGUAUGGGAGAGGGAAGUGGAAUUUCCGGUGUAGCGGUGAAAUGCGUAGAUAUCGGAAGGAACAUCAGUGGCGAAAGCGACUUCCUGGACCAAUACUGGCGCUCAUGUGCGAAAGCGUUGGGGAGCAAACAGG
rnacentral:rRNA from 1 species